UGGGGAAUUUUGCACAAUGGGGGAAACCCUGAUGCAGCGACGCCGCGUGAUUUAGAAGGCCUUCGGGUUGUAAAAAUCUUUUCUAUGGGAAGAAAAUGACAGUACCAUAGGAAUAAGGACCGGCUAAUUACGUGCCAGCAGCCGCGGUAAUACGUAAGGUCCGGGCGUUGUCCGGAAUCAUUGGGCGUAAAGGGUACGUAGGCGGGUAAGCAAGUUAGAAGUGAAAUCCUAUAGCUCAACUAUAGUAAGCUUUUAAAAAUGCUCAUCUUGAGGUAUGGAAGAGAAAGUGGAAUUCCUAGUGUAGCGGUGAAAUGCGCAGUUAUUAGGAGGAGUACCGGUGGCGAAGGAGACUUUCUGGCCAUAACCUGACGCUGAGGUACGAAAGCGUGGGUAGCAGACAGG
rnacentral:rRNA from 1 species